AUCUCUGCGCAGUGGCAGUAUCGUAGCCUAUGAGGUUUCAUCCUGAGGCGUGAUUAUUGCUAGUUGAAAACUUUACCCAAUACCCCGCCUAGACGACUUGAAAUAUAGUCGGCGACGGCAAUUUUUGACGGUCUCUACGGAGA
rnacentral:snRNA from 1 species